GUCAGUCGAACACUUUAUCAAAUAAUUAUACUAUUUGUAUAAAUAAUUGUAAACUAUACCUAAUUAGUUUUGUUCUUUGAGUUGGUCAUAAGUUUAUAAAAAUAAUGUUCUAUGUAUUUAACAGUUCUAAUCUUUUAAAUUUGUUAUAAUUUAAUAUUUUUUUAUUUUCAUCAAAAAUAUUUAUCAAAUUCUAUUGGUUAAAUUUUUUGGAAAUCAUGG
rnacentral:lncRNA from 1 species